rnacentral:misc_RNA from 1 species
GAUGAAGAACGCAGCGAAAUGCGAUAAGUAAUGUGAAUUGCAGAAUUCAGUGAAUCAUCGAAUCUUUGAACGCACCUUGCGCCCUUUGGCCAUUCCGAAGGGCAUGCCUGUUUGAGUAUCAUGAACACCUCAACUCUUUAUGGUUUUCCAUGAUGAGCUUGGACUCUGGGGGUUUUGCUGGCUCACAGUCGGCUCCUCUAAAAUGAAUCAGCUUACCAGUGUUUGGUGGGUAUCAUGGGUGUGAUAACUAUCUACGCUUGCGGUUUUUCCACCAGGUAACCUUCAGCAGUGGAGGUUCGCUGGAGCUCAUAGAUGUCUCUCCUCAGUGAGGACAGCCCUUUGAAUGUUUGAUCUCAAAUCAGGUAGGACUACCCGCUGAACUUAAGCAUAUCAAUAAGCGGAGGA